GGUUAAGCGACUAAGCGUACACGGUGGAUGCCCUGGCAGUCAGAGGCGAUGAAGGACGUGCUAAUCUGCGAUAAGCGUCGGUAAGGUGAUAUGAACCGUUAUAACCGGCGAUUUCCGAAUGGGGAAACCCAGUGUGAUUCGUCACACUAUCAUUAACUGAAUCCAUAGGUUAAUGAGGCGAACCGGGGGAACUGAAACAUCUAAGUACCCCGAGGAAAAGAAAUCAACCGAGAUUCCCCCAGUAGCGGCGAGCGAACGGGGAGCAGCCCAGAGCCUGAAUCAGUAUGUGUGUUAGUGGAAGCGUCUGGAAAGGCGCGCGAUACAGGGUGACAGCCCCGUACACAAAAAUGCACAUGCUGUGAGCUCGAUGAGUAGGGCGGGACACGUGGUAUCCUGUCUGAAUAUGGGGGGACCAUCCUCCAAGGCUAAAUACUCCUGACUGACCGAUAGUGAACCAGUACCGUGAGGGAAAGGCGAAAAGAACCCCGGCGAGGGGAGUGAAAAAGAACCUGAAACCGUGUACGUACAAGCAGUGGGAGCACAGAGCAAUCUGUGUGACUGCGUACCUUUUGUAUAAUGGGUCAGCGACUUAUAUUCUGUAGCAAGGUUAACCGAAUAGGGGAGCCGAAGGGAAACCGAGUCUUAACUGGGCGUUAAGUUGCAGGGUAUAGACCCGAAACCCGGUGAUCUAGCCAUGGGCAGGUUGAAGGUUGGGUAACACUAACUGGAGGACCGAACCGACUAAUGUUGAAAAAUUAGCGGAUGACUUGUGGCUGGGGGUGAAAGGCCAAUCAAACCGGGAGAUAGCUGGUUCUCCCCGAAAGCUAUUUAGGUAGCGCCUCGUGAAUUCAUCUCCGGGGGUAGAGCACUGUUUCGGCAAGGGGGUCAUCCCGACUUACCAACCCGAUGCAAACUGCGAAUACCGGAGAAUGUUAUCACGGGAGACACACGGCGGGUGCUAACGUCCGUCGUGAAGAGGGAAACAACCCAGACCGCCAGCUAAGGUCCCAAAGUCAUGGUUAAGUGGGAAACGAUGUGGGAAGGCCCAGACAGCCAGGAUGUUGGCUUAGAAGCAGCCAUCAUUUAAAGAAAGCGUAAUAGCUCACUGGUCGAGUCGGCCUGCGCGGAAGAUGUAACGGGGCUAAACCAUGCACCGAAGCUGCGGCAGCGACGCUGAUGCGUUGUUGGGUAGGGGAGCGUUCUGUAAGCCUGUGAAGGUGUGCUGUGAGGCAUGCUGGAGGUAUCAGAAGUGCGAAUGCUGACAUAAGUAACGAUAAAGCGGGUGAAAAGCCCGCUCGCCGGAAGACCAAGGGUUCCUGUCCAACGUUAAUCGGGGCAGGGUGAGUCGACCCCUAAGGCGAGGCCGAAAGGCGUAGUCGAUGGGAAACAGGUUAAUAUUCCUGUACUUGGUGUUACUGCGAAGGGGGGACGGAGAAGGCUAUGUUGGCCGGGCGACGGUUGUCCCGGUUUAAGCGUGUAGGCUGGUUUUCCAGGCAAAUCCGGAAAACUAAGGCUGAGGCGUGAUGACGAGGCACUACGGUGCUGAAGCAACAAAUGCCCUGCUUCCAGGAAAAGCCUCUAAGCAUCAGGUAACAUCAAAUCGUACCCCAAACCGACACAGGUGGUCAGGUAGAGAAUACCAAGGCGCUUGAGAGAACUCGGGUGAAGGAACUAGGCAAAAUGGUGCCGUAACUUCGGGAGAAGGCACGCUGAUAUGUAGGUGAAGUCCCUCGCGGAUGGAGCUGAAAUCAGUCGAAGAUACCAGCUGGCUGCAACUGUUUAUUAAAAACACAGCACUGUGCAAACACGAAAGUGGACGUAUACGGUGUGACGCCUGCCCGGUGCCGGAAGGUUAAUUGAUGGGGUCAGCGCAAGCGAAGCUCUUGAUCGAAGCCCCGGUAAACGGCGGCCGUAACUAUAACGGUCCUAAGGUAGCGAAAUUCCUUGUCGGGUAAGUUCCGACCUGCACGAAUGGCGUAAUGAUGGCCAGGCUGUCUCCACCCGAGACUCAGUGAAAUUGAACUCGCUGUGAAGAUGCAGUGUACCCGCGGCAAGACGGAAAGACCCCGUGAACCUUUACUAUAGCUUGACACUGAACAUUGAGCCUUGAUGUGUAGGAUAGGUGGGAGGCUUUGAAGUGUGGACGCCAGUCUGCAUGGAGCCGACCUUGAAAUACCACCCUUUAAUGUUUGAUGUUCUAACGUUGACCCGUAAUCCGGGUUGCGGACAGUGUCUGGUGGGUAGUUUGACUGGGGCGGUCUCCUCCUAAAGAGUAACGGAGGAGCACGAAGGUUGGCUAAUCCUGGUCGGACAUCAGGAGGUUAGUGCAAUGGCAUAAGCCAGCUUGACUGCGAGCGUGACGGCGCGAGCAGGUGCGAAAGCAGGUCAUAGUGAUCCGGUGGUUCUGAAUGGAAGGGCCAUCGCUCAACGGAUAAAAGGUACUCCGGGGAUAACAGGCUGAUACCGCCCAAGAGUUCAUAUCGACGGCGGUGUUUGGCACCUCGAUGUCGGCUCAUCACAUCCUGGGGCUGAAGUAGGUCCCAAGGGUAUGGCUGUUCGCCAUUUAAAGUGGUACGCGAGCUGGGUUUAGAACGUCGUGAGACAGUUCGGUCCCUAUCUGCCGUGGGCGCUGGAGAACUGAGGGGGGCUGCUCCUAGUACGAGAGGACCGGAGUGGACGCAUCACUGGUGUUCGGGUUGUCAUGCCAAUGGCACUGCCCGGUAGCUAAAUGCGGAAGAGAUAAGUGCUGAAAGCAUCUAAGCACGAAACUUGCCCCGAGAUGAGUUCUCCCUGACUCCUUGAGAGUCCUGAAGGAACGUUGAAGACGACGACGUUGAUAGGCCGGAUGUGUAAGCGCAGCGAUGCGUUGAGCUAACCGGUACUAAUGAACCGUGAGGCUUAACCUU
rnacentral:rRNA from 1 species